AAUUCCUGGACACAUAUACCCUCCCAAGACUAAACCAGGAAGAAGUCGAAUCCCUGAAUAGACCAAUAACAAGCUCUGAAAUUGAGGCAGCAAUUAAUAGCCUACCAACCCAAAAUAGCCCAAGACCAGAGAGAUUCACAGCUGAAUUCUACAAAGAGGAGCUGGUACCAUUCCUUCUGAACCUACUGCAAACAAUUGAAAAGGAAGGACUCCCCCUUAACUCAUUUUAUGAAGCCAGCAUCAUCCUGAUACCAAAACCUGGAAGAGGCACACCAAAAAAAACAGAACUUUAGAUCGAUAUUUCUGAUGAACAUCAAUGCAAAAAUCCUCAGUAAAAUACUGGCACACUGAAUCCAGCAGCACAUCAAAAAGCUUAUCCACCAUGAUGAAGUUAGCUUCAUCCCUGGGAUGCAAGACUCACAUCCAGCAAGCUAC
rnacentral:lncRNA from 1 species